CACGACAAGUUGUUUUGCAUUUCCUUCUCAGAGUGUGACGUGUGAACUGGUUAAGAUGCGUGUGUGUGAGAAGCCUGUAAUGAGUUUAUGCUUUUAGUAAACGAGCAGGCGGAUCCACGUGGGGCGAACAGUCCUGGCUGUUAAACGGGUCUUCAUCCGGCGGCGCUGAACUCUCUGAAGCGGAUUCAGCAUGCUAGCUAAGCUAAGUUAUGCUAUGCUAUGCUAAGCUAAGCUAAUGAAGUGCGCACUCACAUCGUCGCAUGACAUCACCGUGGCCACCAACAUGACCAAGCGUUCAGGAUUCAUGGAAAAAAGCAACUAUCAAAAGCUCACCAGGUGAUUGGAGGAAACGCGAAUGUGGUACAAGGAGGGACGACAAAUAUUUGAAAACCGUUUGAUGGUGGUUCUCUAAAUGAUGCAUUAAUCCUUAACCUGUUAACAAGAACAGAAAUGAGCCACCACUCAAUUAACUAUUCAGUUAAACAUUUACACACAUUUUCUGUUGGACUACGACGUCCUGAAGGAGUCUGAUGAGUUUAGUUUUUUACUGGUUGUUUGAUUAUUGGUUAUUAUUUUAUUUAUUAUGUUGUGAUAGAUUUGUCGUUGACUCAAAGAAGUGGUGUGCGUUGUAGCUUUGUGUCAGAGGAGCUAAGAUCACCUACCUGAGAUAAAACACGGUGUCUGUCUAGUGUUUUGUUUCAACAUCAUCUUUCUUUCCAUACUUUCUGAUUGAAGUCUGUAUUUCGCAAAUGUCGUUCCGUUAUCUCAGUUACAUUUUCUCAUGUAUAGUUUCCUGAAUCUAAUGGCAUACAUAUGUAUGUUUAUAUGUAGACACACGUAUGUAUGUAUUUAAGUUUGAGGAGCUUCAUAACUGGUGCAGGUGUGUUACAGUAUGAAUAUCGGUCCAAUAUAAUCUGUGCCACUAUGAGUCGACCACCCGGCUGCUUCAUCUCACAUCUCAUGUGGUUCAUAUUCUAAUAACAAAGCCACCGUUCCAACCUCAGUGUUAAUCAGUCAUGUUUUCAUUUCAUUUGAACUCGAAAGUCACCAAAAGAGGAUUUUAUCACAUUCAAAGUUAGUGAAUAUAAAAUGGUUCUUUGUUACAAACACAAAAAUAUUUGUGCAAGUGCAUAAAAAGUUGCACAUGUGUUAAAAACUUAACCGUUUACAGAAGGUGACCUUACCUAUGACUUAUUUAAGAUAAAGCCUCAUAUUUUAAGCUGAGCCAAGUUUGUUCAUGCUGGCAGCUACGUGAGAUGUACUAAAUAAUGAUGCAAGUAUGCGAACAUGAUCAGAAACACAAUGUUAUUAUGCUGCUUGGUACGAAAUGAUCUUUAACAUAUUCACCAUCUUACUUAAUUACAUCAAUAUGCUAGAAUUUGAAAACCACUAGCAAAUAAAAGUAAUAUAAUAUAGAUGUAAAUAUGUGUGUGUGUGUGUGUGUGUGUGUGUGUGUGUGUGUGUGUGUGUGUGUGUGUGCAGUAGUAGUGGGAGUGUUUAGUGGAAUUCAAGCAGAAGAGAAAUCUCAUUAGGGAUUAUCACAAAUAGUGUUAGAAUCAUCAGUCAUUACACAGUAGUUAUGCUAGAUUAAUAACUAAAAGGAAAACAUUUAAAAUCGAAUCACACCGAUUCCUUUGUGCGUUAUUACAUUAAAACCAGUGUUAAACUUGCAGUCGGUCUUUCUCUGUCUGAUGGUCAUCAUGUUCCACCUGAACCAAGCAGCUCUUCUCUCCAUCACACUGUUCACGAUGGUCCAAGUCUCUGCAGAUAGUAAUGCAGUUGAGCAGAGGAAUAUAUCGGUGUACAGAGGAGAGUCCGUCACCUUCACCUGCAACGUGUCCAAGACAAAAGUAUCGCAAAUCCGGUGGACCAAAGGCGGAUCAUCUUUUGUGUUUGGAGUCCCAUUAAAUCAGACCUUUUCAAAUUUCACUUCACACCGACUGACAAUAGACACAAACUUCCCCUCAAAGAUGAUUAUUUCAAACUUUCAGCAUAACGAUGCAGGAAUCUACAGAUGUACUUUAUAUGACGAGAAAGGUACGAGGAGUAUUGAGUGGAAUGUAACGGUGUCUGAGGAACAUGAAGAAUUCAGUUAUUUGUGGUUAUAUAUCACAACUGCAACUGGAUCUCUUCUUAGUUUCUUCAUCACAGCUGUUUGUCUCUACAGAAGCUGGACCAAGAUCCCAGACCAGGACCAGGAAAGAAAGACCCUGAGUUACGUCACAUUUCAUCUUCAGUGUGGAAAAGAGGUGGCUCCACUCCAACCACACAGUUGUGUAGAAUACAGUAAGAAUCACAAGUCAAUACUUUAAGAGGCUCAAUUCAAACCUUCUGGCCCGUUAAGGAUGAAGUUCAGUGCAAAGACGAACAAGAAAUAAAAGAUGUUGGAAAGAGCAAAACAUUCAAUCAACACAAAACCUCAACUGCUUGAAAAAUUUGCAUUUUGGAGAUAUGAGCAUUAAAAUGCUGGUCAGUCAGUUUCCCUCAAGCAGUGGGAGACAUGGAGACAAACUGUCCCUGAAGAACAAACCUUUCUGGACAAUGUGUGCUCAAAAAUCUGAAAACUGAAGACCUGUUCCUCCUCUGCAACAUUGAAGAUUUGAUCCUUGUUUGACAUCAGUGUCGUCUUGUAGGGGAGAGCGGCGUCGGGUGCAACAUUUGGACAUUUGGAACACUGCUAGUUAGAUAGAAGUUUGAAAAAUCUAUUCAUGUCAAAUUGAUGCAAUGUUUCAAUAAACAUAUUUUUGUGGCUUGUGUCCCAAACGUCCCGCAGAGGCAGAAUUAUGGGGAAAUUCAACUGUUGUACAUUUCAUCAAACUGUGCUUUUUUCGUUCUGGUUUGGCUCCAGAGAACUUGACAAAUUUGCAGACAACUGGAAUCUGUAACGAAUUUACUAUUAAAGGUAAGUUUGUGUUGAUGCAGCAGCAGUGAGCUUGUUGAUGUUUUUCUGUUCAGGGAAACCAGGAAGUGGUUAAAGAUUUUAAAGGUUAAUUGAUGAAGGUAAAUCCUCCCUUGGUUUUUUGUUCUUCUGUGAAGCGAUUUGAAACCCUUUUCUUUCUUUUAAACGAAAAUGUUCUCUCUUCUCCAGCUGCGUGCUCACCCGUCGCCAAUAAUAAAUAAAAUGAGAAAAUUGUAA